rnacentral:rRNA from 1 species
CCUACGGGUGGCUGCAGUGGGGAAUAUUGCACAAUGGGGGAAACCCUGAUGCAGCGACGCCGCGUGUAGGAAGACGGUCCUCUGGAUUGUAAACCACUGUCCCAAGGGACGAAGAUGACGGUACCUGGGGAGGAAGCUCCGGCUAACUACGUGCCAGCAGCCGCGGUAAUACGUAGGGAGCAAGCGUUGUCCGGAAUUACGGGGGGUAAAGGGAGGGUAGGCGGGAUGGCAAGUUGGGUGUUAAAUCUACCGGCUAAACUGGUAGUCGCACUCAAAACUGCUAUUCUUGAGUGAAGGAGAGGUAGGCGGAAUUCCUAGUGUAGGGGUGAAAUGCGUAGAUAUUAGGAGGAACACCAGUGGCGAAGGCGGCCUGCUGGGCCUUUACUGACGCUGAGGCUCGAAAGUGUGGGGAGCAAACAGGAUUAGAUACCCUUGUAGUC